AAUAAAUAAUUUUACACUCAAAUAUAAGACCCGUGAGUCUCUCACCAAAGUCGCAGAUCAAGCACACGAAGAGACAAAUGGGCUGGAAGAUCAAUCCGCAUUUAUCUGGUUUUGUUUUAAUGUUUUUGAUCCAGUUGUAACAUGAACAUGCAGAUAAACUGAACAGG